rnacentral:piRNA from 1 species
UAGCAGAGUAUAUGAAAUGUAAAUUUUCCU